AGUGAACGCUGGCGGUAGGCCUAACACAUGCAAGUCGAACGGCAGCACAGUAAGAGCUUGCUCUUACGGGUGGCGAGUGGCGGACGGGUGAGGAAUACAUCGGAAUCUACUUUUUCGUGGGGGAUAACGUAGGGAAACUUACGCUAAUACCGCAUACGACCUACGGGUGAAAGCAGGGGAUCUUCGGACCUUGCGCGAUUGAAUGAGCCGAUGUCGGAUUAGCUAGUUGGCGGGGUAAAGGCCCACCAAGGCGACGAUCCGUAGCUGGUCUGAGAGGAUGAUCAGCCACACUGGAACUGAGACACGGUCCAGACUCCUAAGGGAGGCAGCAGUGGGGAAUAUUGGACAAUGGGCGCAAGCCUGAUCCAGCCAUACCGAGUGGGUGAAGAAGGCCUUCGGGUUGUAAAGCCCUUUUGUUGGGAAAGAAAAGCAGCAGGUUAAUACCCCGCUGUUCUGACGGUACCCAAAGAAUAAGCACCGGCUAACUUCGUG
rnacentral:rRNA from 1 species